rnacentral:lncRNA from 1 species
ACUGAUUAAAGUUUUUAUUUAUUGCAGGUAAAAAAAAAAAGAAGAUCCGAGUAGACGAUUGUAAAAAGUUGACCGAUAAGAGCAUGACGAUAUCGAUCGACAGUACAAAACCUGCAGCGACCGAUGAUAACUCCUUUCCAUCUAUUGACACUUAACCCGGUCAGGUUAUCGUUCUCACUUGUUAAAUUUAGUACUUAUGAUUAAUUCUUACCAAAACUCUGACUAGAUAUACAUUGGGGACAGUGUAGUUUAAGUCUGAGGGGAUGUUUACUGAUAUUAGUGUGUUCAUGAGUCUUAUUAAAAUGUUUUCAAAAGAGUUUUAUUGAGUCAAGAAAUGGAUAAUGAACUUAUUGAUUUUUGCUUGUUAUCUAACCACUCUUUAGCACCAUUCUAGAAUUACUGAUUGCAGAUAGUAGUAAAGAUACUAAAGUGGAUCAAUCUGUCAACUAUCCACACUUGCUAAGAUUGUUUGAAGUAACCAAAGCUGACCUCCAACACUAUACCUGACUCCACUGCUUGUCUUGGAGCUUGGUAUACAUGAGAUCGGAUUCUUCAAACCAGUCUGGAAGGUAAAGCCUUGUGUAGAUUUAUCAUCUUUUCUCUCUCUAUUUCGAUCCUAGAUUUAUAGGUAGAGAUAUUUAUUUACAAAAAAAAAAUGAAAAAGAUAAAAAAAGAAAAGAAAAAUACUUAUAUAUAUAAUAGAUGUUAGUUAGGUGGAAUCCGAACAUGACAGACUUGGUGGCUACAACCAUUAAGGCAUGCUUCAUAAGCAUUCCAACAAAAAGAAUUCGAACGGGACUUGGUGGCGGCAAUCAUCAAGGUUCGAUUGAAAUGAAUUCUUGGAUAUAGGUUAAAAAGAAGUGAACAGGCCUUGGUGGAAACCACCAUUAAGGCUUUGAUUCAUGGAAGCCUGUCCAAUCUUGGUCAAUGAUCUUGCAAUAUAAGCAGACUUUGACUAAGAGAGAAAUUAGUAGAGAGAAAAGAUAGGAACUAACUUUUACCUGCAGAUCCAGAUACUUGUUUUAAAAUCCUUGCAUCAUGUGAUUGAUACUCCCAAGGUAAAGCCUGCACUUUUAUUUAUGUUAAGAAAUGAGGUUGGUAGAGGGGAAAGUAAGACAAGAUUUGCUAAGUUGUUGGCUAGGUGAAUUUGGUUGCUAAGCUAGGAUAUGGUAUAAUGUGCUUUUGUGAUUAGGACUUCUUAGAUGUUGAUUGCAAUAUUGUAGAGGUGAUGAUUCUAAGUUUUUAAUCAUGUGAGUC